UACGAAGGGGGCUAGCGUUACUCGGAUUGACUGGGCGUAAAGGGCGCGUAGGCGGUUCGUCAAGUCCUGUGUGAAAUCCCCCGGCUCAACUGGGGAACUGCACAGGAAACUAGCGGGCUUGAGUUCGGGAGAGGGAAGCGGAAUUCCGGGUGUAGCGGUGAAAUGCGUAGAUAUCCGGAGGAACACCGGUGGCGAAGGCGGCAUCCUGGACCGGCAUUGACGCUGAGGAGCGAAAGCGUGGGGAGCGAACAGG
rnacentral:rRNA from 1 species